GGUCCGGUAGCUCACUUGGAUAGAGCGAUUGCCUCCUAAGCAAUAGGUAGUGGGUUCGAUUCCCGCCCGGAUCA
rnacentral:tRNA from 3 species